rnacentral:lncRNA from 1 species
GCCGAAUCUAACUGUCAUGACUGUGUAUGUAGAUUCUUAACUUUUGGUCCUGUUUUCAAAUUGGUCUACAUUAAGGUCCAAAGGGUCCAAAAUUAAACUUAGUUUGAUUUUGACAAAAAAUGAAUCAGUUAGGUUCUUUGAUAUGCUGAAUCUAAAAAUGUACUUAGAUUCUUGAUUAUUGGCCCAGUUUUCAAGUUGGUCCAAAUCGGGGUCCAAAAAUUAAACUUUGUUUGAUUUCAUCAAAAAUUGAAUAAAUG